UGAACGCUGGCGGCAUGCUUUACACAUGCAAGUCGAACGGCAGCGCGGGCUUCGGCCUGGCGGCGAGUGGCGAACGGGUGAGUAAUGCAUCGGAACGUGCCCAGUAGUGGGGGAUAGCCCGGCGAAAGCCGGAUUAAUACCGCAUACGACCUGAGGGUGAAAGCGGGGGACCGAAAGGCCUCGCGCUAUUGGAGCGGCCGAUGUCGGAUUAGCUAGUUGGUGGGGUAAAGGCUUACCAAGGCGACGAUCCGUAGCUGGUCUGAGAGGACGACCCGCCACACUGGGACUGAGACACGGCCCAGACUCCUACGGGAGGCAGCAGUGGGGAAUUUUGGACAAUGGGGGCAACCCUGAUCCAGCCAUGCCGCGUGCGGGAAGAAGGCCUUCGGGUUGUAAACCGCUUUUGUUCGGGAAGAAAUCCUCUGGGCUAAUACCCCGGGGGGAUGACGGUACCGGAAGAAUAAGCACCGGCUAACUACGUG
rnacentral:rRNA from 1 species